UACGUAGGGGGCUAGCGUUGUCCGGAAUCAUUGGGCGUAAAGCGCGUGUAGGCGGCCCGGUAAGUCCGCUGUGAAAGUCGGGGGCUCAACCCUCGGAUGCCGGUGGAUACUGUCGGGCUUGAGUACGGAAGAGGCGAGUGGAAUUCCUGGUGUAGCGGUGAAAUGCGCAGAUAUCAGGAGGAACACCUAUUGCGAAGGCAGCUCGCUGGGACGUGACUGACGCUGGGACGCGAAAGCGUGGGGAGCAAACAGG
rnacentral:rRNA from 1 species